rnacentral:lncRNA from 13 species
CAUCCUCCCAUGUACAUCUUGGGCUGCCAAGAUCAGCAGAGGAAAAGUUGCCAACUUUUACGGUGGACCACUUGAGGUCAGGAGUUUGAGACCAGCCUGGCCAACACGGUGAAACACCGUCUCCAUUAAAAAUACAAAAUUCAGCUGGGCAUGGUGGUGCACCCCUGUAAUCCUACUUACUUGGGAGGCUGAGGCAUGUGAAUUGAUUGAGCCCAGGAGGCAGAAGCAGAGAGCAAAGAUCACACUAUAGCACUCCAGCCUGGGAGACCCAGCAAGACCCUGUCACAAAAGAAAAAAAAGGCUAAGAAGCAACACACCUCUGCAGUAUUAGGUCCUCCUCUGGCUGCCGCUCAAGUCGGGGAGGAGCCCUGGAGGCAUCAGACCUGUGGGAAAGAAGGAAGACAAGAGGAAAGCUCAAGGAGAGAGGAGAAUCCAUUGUUUCUGGACUUGCUGCCCUGCUCAGGAGUACGUAUGUAAGCUGCUUGAUCUGGAUGAAUAAGAGCUUUUAGAGUUCAUAAUAAAUGGAUUGUGAAUCUUUAUUCGUUUCCUGUA